rnacentral:rRNA from 1 species
AUUGAACGCUGGCGGCAGGCUUAACACAUGCAAGUCGAGCGGGGGAAGGUAGCUUGCUACCGGACCUAGCGGCGGACGGGUGAGUAAUGCUUAGGAAUCUGCCUAUUAGUGGGGGACAACAUCUCGAAAGGGAUGCUAAUACCGCAUACGUCCUACGGGAGAAAGCAGGGGAUCUUCGGACCUUGCGCUAAUAGAUGAGCCUAAGUCGGAUUAGCUAGUUGGUGGGGUAAAGGCCUACCAAGGCGACGAUCUGUAGCGGGGCUGAGAGGAUGAUCCGCCACACUGGGACUGGGGCACGGCCCGGACGCCUGCGGGAGGGAGCAGGGGGGAAUAUUGGACAAUGGGGGGAACCCUGAUCCAGCCAUGCCGCGUGUGUGAAGAAGGCCUUAUGGUUGUAAAGCACUUUAAGCGAGGAGGAGGCUACUUUAGUUAAUACCUAGAGAUAGUGGACGUUACUCGCAGAAUAAGCACCGGCUAACUCUGUGCCAGCCGCCGCCGUAA